CAGUUCUUUCGGGCUGAGACAUAAGAGGACAAAGGCAAUACAAAACAGUAGAAAACAGCAGGUCAGAAUAAACAGGUUUAAACAUUCCAGAAUAACAGAAUGUAGCAACCAACUGUAGAAACUAAAUGUCAGUCUCCACCAUUUCAACAAAAGUAGACCAGAGCGCAAAAUCACAACUGGGCGGGCCGAGAUGUCCCUGGCCCCAGCAACCAGAAGAAGCCUUCACGGAUUUGCCACGUCAUUGAAGGAACGAUGCAGGAAGCUUGGCGGGAAAUGCCUGUUUGGAUGUCCUCCUAACACCAAAUUUAAGGCAACAUGUGGGAUUCUCGGAAGCUGUUGUGUCCCCAGAAAAAAGUAUGGGCCAAACUUCUCUCCACCUGCCUACCCAGGACGUCUCGGAAUAUGAGUGAUUUCUCCAUUCCCCGACAGACGUGCUGAAAUCCUGCUUCAACCCUACCUGGAAAAGCCCUUUCUUAGCCAUCAAUGCUUCCUGCUCAGCAGCAAAGAAGCUUUGCUUGUUUUCUCUCAGCCUCCCCCUUUGAAUUAAAGCUGUUUUUAAAGGCA